CUACGGGCCGCUGCAGCUAAGAAUCUUCCGCAAUGGGCGAAAGCCUGACGGAGCGACGCCGCGUGGGUGAUGAAGGCCGAGAGGUUGUAAAGCCCUUUUCUGCUUGAGGAAUAAGCAUCGGAGGGAAUGCCGGUGUGAUGACGGUAGGGCAGGAAUAAGCCCCGGCUAAUUACGUGCCAGCAGCCGCGGUAACACGUAUGGGGCGAGCGUGUUCGGAAUCAUUGGGCGUAAAGGGCGUGUAGGCGGAAAUGCAAGUCUGGUGUGAAAGACCGCAGCUUAACUGCGGGACCGCGCUGGAAACUGCAUAUCUUGAGUUCCGGAGGGGGGGUUGGAAUUCCUGGUGUAGGGGUGAAAUCUGUUGAUAUCAGGAAGAACAUCGGUGGCGAAGGCGAACUCCUGGACGAGAACUGACGCUGAGGCGCGAAAGCGUGGGGAGCGAACAGGAUUAGAUACCCCAGUAGUC
rnacentral:rRNA from 1 species